ensembl:lncRNA
CCGCCCCAGGCCGUAGUGAGGAGGAGCGAGCGGGCCAGCUGGCGAGAGCGUCUCCUCACCUGCCGGACCGACGCCUGCGAGAACACAGACACCUGCGCGGCCUCCUGGCAGAGCCUUGUGCCUUGGGCCUCUCCGGCUUCCUGGAAGCUCAGAGCCUCGUCUUGGGGUAAUAAAGAAUAAAAGUCCUGUGCCGGGUGACAAAGUCAGUAUGGCUUGAAGGAUUCUGCCCACUGCCUGUCUGUGCAACACUCCUGUCCCAGUUGUCGGAAGUAUCUCUUUCCCAACCUGCUCCUGAACAAAGGACCUUGCGCUUGCGAACCAGGCAGCGGAACCACUGAGCUAAAUCCCUGGCCC